rnacentral:rRNA from 1 species
GACGAACGCUGGCGGCGUGCUUAACACAUGCAAGUCGAACGGAAAGGCCUUUUCGGAGGUACUCGAGUGGCGAACGGGUGAGUAACACGUGGGUGAUCUGCCCUGCACUCUGGGAUAAGCCUGGGAAACUGGGUCUAAUACCGGAUAGGACCGCACUUUAGUGUGUGUGGUGGAAAGUUUUUUCGGUGUAGGAUGAGCCCGCGGCCUAUCAGCUUGUUGGUGGGGUAAUGGCCUACCAAGGCGGCGACGGGUAGCCGGACUGAGAGGUUGGUCGGCCACAUUGGGAAUGAGAUACGGCCCAGACUCCGAAGGGAGGAAGCAGUGGGGAAUAUUGCACAAUGGGCGCAAGCCUGAUGCAGCGACGCCGCGUGGGGGAUGACGGCCUUCGGGUUGUAAACUCCUUUCGCCAGGGACGAAGCGUUUUGUGACGGUACCUGGAGAAGAAGCACCGGCUAACUACGUG